ACUCAAUAGAUACCCAGGUAGUCCACGCCGUAAACUAUGGAUGCUAGCUGUUAGAAGUAUCGACCCUUCUAGUAGCGAAAGCUAACGCGUUAAGCAUCCCGCCUGUGGAGUACGAGCGCAAGCUUAAAACAUAAAGGAAUUGACGGGGACCCGGCACAAGCGGUGGAGCGUGUUGUUUAAUUCGACGAUAAGCGAAGAACCUUACCAGGGCUUGACAUCCUGCGAAUUUCUCCGAAACGGAGAAAGUGCUUUAUUGAGCGCAGUGACAGGUGUUGCAUGGCCGUCGUCAGCUCGUGUCGUGAGAUGUUUGGUUAAGUCCAUCAACGAGCGCAACCCGUUAUAGUCAGUUGAAUUUCUCUGGCUAGACUGCCCCGGGUCAACGGGGGUAGGAAGGAGGGGUAUGAUGUCAGGUCAGUAUUACCCCGUUACGUCCUGGGCUACAAACACGCUACAAUGGCCGGUUACAAACGGGCAGCCAACCCGGCGAGGGGUAGCAAAUCCCAUCAAACGCCGGUUCUCAGUUCGGAUUGUAGGCUGAAA
rnacentral:rRNA from 1 species